rnacentral:rRNA from 1 species
GACGAACGCUGGCGGCGUGCUUAACACAUGCAAGUCGAACGGAAAGGCCCUGCUUUUGUGGGGUGCUCGAGUGGCGAACGGGUGAGUAACACGUGAGUAACCUGCCCUUGACUUUGGGAUAACUUCAGGAAACUGGGGCUAAUACCGGAUAGGAGCUCCUGCUGCAUUGUGUGGGUUGGAAAGUUUCGGCGGUUGGGGAUGGACUCGCGGCUUAUCAGCUUGUUGGUGGGGUAGUGGCUUACCAAGGCUUUGACGGGUAGCCGGCCUGAGCGGGUGACCGGCCACAUUGGGACUGAGAUACGGACCAGACUCCUACGGGAGGCAGCAGUGGGGAAUAUUGCACAAUGGGCGGAAGCCUGAUGCAGCAACGCCGCGUGCGGGAUGACGGCCUUCGGGUUGUAAACCGCUUUCGCAUGUGACGAAGCGUGAGUGACGGUAAUGGGUAAAGAAGCACCGGCUAACUACGUG